UACAGGGGGGGCAAGCGUUGUUCGGAAUUACUGGGCGUAAAGGGUCUGUAGGUGGCCAACUAAGUCAGACGUGAAAUCCCUCAGCUUAACUGGGGAACUGCGUCUGAUACUGGAUGGCUUGAGUGUGGGAGAGGAAUGCGGAAUUCCAGGUGUAGCGGUGAAAUGCGUAGAUAUCUGGAGGAACACCGGUGGCGAAGGCGGCAUUCUGGACCAUAACUGACACUGAGAGAUGAAAGCCAGGGGAGCAAAUGGG
rnacentral:rRNA from 1 species